GUGGAUGUGUCCUAUUAUUUGGAUUCUAAGGUUUUUGCCAAGAUGUUUCACCGGGAAUAAUUCAUCUUGGGGGUUUGAACUACAGAUCUCUAAUUAGGAAAGAGCCUUCACCGGGAAGACAUUCUCAAUCCUAUUAAUUUAAACAAAGACUGUAAAUUGAAAGCUUGUAAAGCCUAACCUGGAUGGAGUGGAGGCCAUUGAAGAAAAGAAGUGAAGAUGGACAAAGGUCACAUGGGUAUCUGAAGAGUUUCACCGGGAAUAAUGCCCUUCAAAUACCAG